UACGUAGGGGGCUAGCGUUGUCCGGAUUUAUUGGGCGUAAAGAGCGUGUAGGCGGCCAUGUAGGUCCGGUGUGAAAACUCGAGGCUUAACCUCGAGAUGUCAUCGGAAACCAUUUGGCUAGAGUCCGGAAGAGGAGAGUGGAAUUCCUGGUGUAGCGGUGAAAUGCGCAGAUAUCAGGAAGAACACCAAUGGCGAAAGCAGCUCGCUGGGACGGUACUGACGCUGAGGCGCGAAAGCGUGGGGAGCAAACAGG
rnacentral:rRNA from 1 species